AUCAAAAAAUUGCGUUAUACUCUUAUUGAUCCUCUCCACGGAAAUCUUUAGUAAAAGGCGAAAGAUUUAUUCGAUCUGAAGAGAAACAAGAGCGAUCUGAUAAUCGAUAGUUCCUCUGAUCGACCUGAUUGGAGCCAACAGCGCUUUGUGUUGUGGUGUUCACUGUCAAAUGUUACUGAGACUAAAAUCUAAACCCACAUAAAGUGCAAAUAAACAACCCAAUAAAUAAAUCAAUCACUGAGGACUUUUAAUGAGACAAACGAACUUUUAUUCGCCUCUAGUUCGCCGAUCGCACGGUGGCGCAAAGCAUGAUGGGAUUACGUUCUUACGUCCCGGUUACGUAGAAUUUAUAUUUUAAAUCUGUUAUUUUGUUUGAAUUUAAAAUAAUUAAAUUAAUCUCUCAAUCAGAAGCACAACUGCACUGAUACAUUUAUUAAUUCAGACUGUUUGUAUUUAUACUUUUAGAUAAAUAAAUAAAUCUUACAUUAAAGUUUCAUAAAGCCCCGCCCCCUCACACAGAGACUAUAAACUGACACUGGAAGAUAAAGUUUCAUUAUUAACUUGUUUAUUUAUUUUUCACAUAUCAGGAAGCCCCACAGUUAAGCAGGGCAUCAAAAAAUUGCGUUAUACUCUUAUUGAUCCUCUCCACGGAAAUCUUUAGUAAAAGGCGAAAGAUUUAUUCGAUCUGAAGAGAAAUCAGAGUGAUAUAGUGACACAGACACUGAGAGCCCGCUGCCUUUAACGGGAACAUGUACUUCAUCAACGGUGUAUUGUUGCUGCCACUAAAUAAAAACCCUGAACAAACUGUUGGGGACAAACACAGCAGUGCUGAUAAAUGGAAACUUUGCGCUGGUUAACUUUGAUACUUGAAACGAACCGUUGAUCCGUUUAUUAACGGCUUUUAACUGGUGGCGCAAAGCAUGCUGGGAGUGGAGGGCUGAACGACCGUUAAUUUCCGUUUGUUGUUAAUUUGUCUCUUCCCGGUUGUUUGUUUGUUUUUUAAAGUUUAUAAAUGUAAUAAAGUGCAACAGUUUGUAUAUACAGACUACAAUGUCACCGCCGACAGUUGUUCAUAUAGUUUGUAUUAAAGUUUGAGUGUGACAGCCGUUGACUGACCAAAGACUGCAGAUUGAAUGAACAACAACGACCUCCUGUGGUAACACAACACAAUAAACUGCUGCUAUCAAGGCCGGAUUAACCUCUAAAGGGCCCAGGGCAGAGAGGGCACAAGAACAAGAUCUGGUUAUAUCUCGUUUAUAUGUUGAACUGUCCGCCGGAGCCGUUGCGCUGCACAUAAUCUCUGCCCCUGGCUGCCUGUGACUGUGACCGUGAGCUGAGACCCUCUCCUCAUUGGUCAGCCCGUAUGAGGCAGGUCAAAGGUGACGCCAAUCAACGUGCACUGAGCAGGUCGCGUGACGUCAAGCGCCGCUACGCAACACUACUCAAACAUGGAGAAUCUCAGUGGGAGCGCCAAACGGAAAUUAAAAAAGGAAACAUUUAAAAUAUAUACCGAAAGUAGGGAGUUUCUUCACGCUAGUAAACGUUAGCAACUGUUCUGCUAAGGCAGCAUCCGUCAACGAGGACCGCUCAGCUAGCCAGGACACUUCUUCACUGCCGGCGCUAGCUAAUGUUCACAGCCCCGAGAGCGAAGAGCCCCCGGCGGCAUCUUCAACCGACGGCCCGGGUUCUGCUGCGAGUGCGACCGGUGAGGGAAGCGGUGAUGGGUCUCUAGUCUCACCGCCAGCUGAACCGCUCGUCGAGUCUGCGAGCAGCCCCUGUACGAGCCGUUGAGGAUCCCCCCGGUGCCCACCACGGCACAGCGCACGCAGCCGCCACUGCCGGGCUUUGGAAGCAGCAGCGGCUCGUUCGGUUUCGGGAUCAACUUCACUGCAGACUCUGCGGGUUGUCUUCCGUGGCGGAGUCCGUCAUGUUGAACCGUGCUUGGAAAGGGAAGGUAAAGCAACUCCUCCGAGGACAUCAUCACUUGCAAGUGGUGGGAUCGCGCCUUUCCGGGGAUGUACUUCAAGCACUCGCUGUCAUUUGAUUCGACUUUAUCUGAUCAAUCAGAGUAAACGCUGAUUAGAAAUCAA